GUGCUCGCUUCGGCGGCACAUAUACAAAAAUUCGAACGAUACAGAGAAGAUUAGCAUGGCCCCUGCGCAAGAUUGACGCGCAAAUUCGUGAAGCAGAUUCGUUCCAUAUUUAA
ensembl:snRNA U6 U6 spliceosomal RNA